rnacentral:rRNA from 1 species
UACGUAGGGUGCAAGCGUUGUCCGGAAUUAUUGGGCGUAAAGAGCUCGUAGGCGGUUUGUCGCGUCUGCUAUGAAAACCCGAGGCUCAACCUCGGGCCUGCAGUGGGUACGGGCAGACUAGAGUGCGGUAGGGGGAGAUUGGAAUUCCUGGUGUAGCGGUGGAAUGCGCAGAUAUCAGGAGGAACACCAAUGGCGAAGGCAGAUCUCUGGGCCGUAACUGACGCUGAGGAGCGAAAGCAUGGGGAGCGAACAGG